GACGAACGCUGGCGGCGUGCUUAACACAUGCAAGUCGAACGGUGAAAGCGGAGCUUGCUCCGCUGGAUCAGUGGCGAACGGGUGAGUAACACGUGGGCAACCUGCCCCUCACUUCGGGAUAACUCCGGGAAACCGGGGCUAAUACCGGAUAUGACCUCCUUGGGGAUCCUUGGAGGUGGAAAGUUUUUCGGUGAGGGAUGGGCCCGCGGCCUAUCAGCUUGUUGGUGAGGUAGUGGCUCACCAAGGCGACGACGGGUAGCCGGCCUGAGAGGGCGACCGGCCACACUGGGACGGAGACACGGCCCAGACUCCUACGGGAGGCAGCAGUGGGGAAUAUUGCGCAAUGGGCGAAAGCCUGACGCAGCAACGCCGCGUGCGGGAUGACGGCCUUCGGGUUGUAAACCGCUUUCAGCAGGGAAGAAGCCGCAAGGUGACGGUACCUGCAGAAGAAGCACCGGCUAACUACGUGCCAGCAGCCGCCGUAAAAC
rnacentral:rRNA from 1 species